AUUGAACGCUGGCGGCAGGCCUAACACAUGCAAGUCGAGCGCGCGGCGGACGGGUGAGUAAUGUAUGGGGCUCUGCUCGAUAGAGGGGGAUAACUACUGGAAACGGUGGCUAAUCCCGCAUACCAGCGGCUGAACCCAUGUGGGAGUGUCUAGUAGGUGGGGGAAAGGUUCACCUAGGCGACGAUCUCUGGCUGAUCUGAGAGGAUGAUCAGCCACACUGGGACUGAGACACGGCCCAGACUCCUACGGGAGGCAGCAGUGGGGAAUCUUGCGCAAUGGGCGCAAGCCUGAUGCAGCCACGCCGCGUGUGUGAAGAAGGCCUUCGGGUCGUAAAGUACUUUCAGCGGGGAGGCGUUACCCGCAGAAGAAGCACCGGCUAACUCCGUGCCAGCAGCCGCGGUAAUAC
rnacentral:rRNA from 1 species